CCCUAUGGGGUGCAUCCAGGAACAGGUCGUCUAUGUUGUAAAACCUGGCCCGGCGGAGCUUUCGGAUUUUGCGUUAGCCCUUUCUAUGGGGCAGGAAAAGCAAGCGUCCGCCCUUGCGCGGCAGGCGGUGCAGGCGGUAUUGAACACGAAAAACGCCUCUCUGGCUUCCCUGCAGGAUGCAUUGAACCGGCUGUGCGCAUGCAUGAACUGCGCCAUUGCCCAGACGGUCACCAACGGGGACGCCAUGGAGGCGGAGCUUUUGCAGCUUGGGAUCAGGACGGAGGACUUUCAAACUCCCCAGGCGCUUAUCAAGCGGCUGGAUAUACUGAUCACCAAGGUUUGCGCGCUGAAAGAGCGGGUCAGCAUUUCCAACGCGGAUCAGGUUGUGGCGUUUUUGAAGCAAUAUGUUCAGGAGCAUUAUGGGGAGAAUGUCGCCCUGAAGGAAUUGGCGGGAGAGC
rnacentral:rRNA from 1 species